rnacentral:rRNA from 1 species
UACGGAGGAUGCGAGCGUUAUCCGGAUUUAUUGGGUUUAAAGGGUGCGUAGGCGGAUUGAUAAGUCAGCGGUGAAAACCUUCAGCUUAACUGGAGAAUUGCCGUUGAUACUGUUAGUCUUGAGGAUGGUCAAGGUAGGCGGAAUGUGUAAUGUAGCGGUGAAAUGCUUAGAUAUUACACAGAACACCGAUUGCGAAGGCAGCUUACUGGGCCAUAACUGACGCUGAGGCACGAAAGCGUGGGGAGCGAAC